rnacentral:rRNA from 1 species
UACGGAAGGCAGCAGUGGGGAAUAUUGCACAAUGGGCGCAAGCCUGAUGCAGCCAUGCCGCGUGUAUGAAGAAGGCCUUCGGGUUGUAAAGUACUUUCAGUCGUGAGGAAGGUGUUAAGGUUAAUAACCUUAGCAAUUGACGUUAGCGACAGAAGAAGCACCGGCUAACUCCGUGCCAGCAGCCGCGGUAAUACGGAGGGUGCGAGCGUUAAUCGGAAUUACUAGGCGUUAAAGGGCACGCAGGCGGUUAAUUAAGUUGGAUGUGAAAUCCCCGGGCUUAACCUGGGAAUGGCAUUCAAGACUGGUUAGCUAGAGUCUUGUAGAGGGGGUAGAAUUCCAUGUGUAGCGGUGAAAUGCGUAGAGAUGUGGAGGAAUACCGGUGGCGAAGGCGGCCCCUGGGACAAGACUGACGCUCAUGUGCGAAAGCGUGGGGAGCAAACGAGGAUUAGAUACC